rnacentral:rRNA from 1 species
CUUGGUCAUUUAGAGGAAGUAAAAGUCGUAACAAGGUUUCCGUAGGUGAACCUGCGGAAGGAUCAUUACCGAGUGAGGGCCCUUGGGUCCAACCUCCCACCCGUGUUUAUUUUACCUUGUUGCUUCGGCGGGCCCGCCUUAACUGGCCGCCGGGGGGCUCACGCCCCCGGGCCCGCGCCCGCCGAAGACACCCUCGAACUUGUCUGAAGAUUGAAGUCUGAGUGAAAAUAUAAAUUAUUUAAAACUUUCAACAACGGAUCUCUUGGUUCCGGCAUCGAUGAAGAACGCAGCGAAAUGCGAUACGUAAUGUGAAUUGCAAAUUCAGUGAAUCAUCGAGUCUUUGAACGCACAUUGCGCCCCCUGGUAUUCCGGAGGGCAUGCCUGUCCGAGCGUCAUUGCUGCCCUCAAGCCCGGCUUGUGUGUUGGGCCCCGUCCUCCGAUCUCCGGGGGACGGGCCCGAAAGGCAGCGGCGGCACCGCGUCCGGUCCUCGAGCGUAUGGGGCUUUGUCACCCGCUCUGUAGGCCCGGCCGGCGCUUGCCGAUCAACCCAAAUUUUUAUCCAGGUUGACCUCGGAUCAGGUAGGGAACCCGCUGAACUUAAGCAUAUCAAUAAGCGGAGGA